GCAGCAGCCGCGGUAAUACAGAGGGUGCGAGCGUUAAUCGGAUUUACUGGGCGUAAAGCGUGCGUAGGCGGCUUUUUAAGUCGGAUGUGAAAUCCCUGAGCUUAACUUAGGAAUUGCAUUCGAUACUGGGAAGCUAGAGUAUGGGAGAGGAUGGUAGAAUUCCAGGUGUAGCGGUGAAAUGCGUAGAGAUCUGGAGGAAUACCGAUGGCGAAGGCAGCCAUCUGGCCUAAUACUGACGCUGAGGUACGAAAGCAUGGGGAGCAAACAGGAUUAGAUACCCCAGUAGUCCCUGUCUCUUAUAC
rnacentral:rRNA from 1 species